rnacentral:tRNA from 7 species
UCGUGAGGGUUCAAGUCCCUCUAUCCCCAAUAAAAGGUUCGAUCUAC